GGGCGUUUAGUAUUUGGUCGUAGACCCGAAACCAGGUGAUCUACCCUUGGUCAGGUUGAAGUUCAGGUAACACUGAAUGGAGGACCGAACCGACUUACGUUGAAAAGUGAGCGGAUGAACUGAGGGUAGCGGAGAAAUUCCAAUCGAACCUGGAGAUAGCUGGUUCUCUCCGAAAUAGCUUUAGGGCUAGCCUCAAGUGAUGAUUAUUGGAGGUAGAGCACUGUUUGGACGAGGGGCCCCUCUCGGGUUACCGAAUUCAGACAAACUCCGAAUGCCAAUUAAUUUAACUUGGGAGUCAGAACAUGGGUGAUAAGGUCCGUGUUCGAAAGGGAAACAGCCCAGACCACCAGCUAAGGUCCCAAAAUAUAUGUUAAGUGGAAAAGGAUGUGGCGUUGCCCAGACAACUAGGAUGUUGGCUUAGAAGCAGCCAUCAUUUAAAGAGUGCGUAAUAGCUCACUAGUCGAGUGACACUGCGCCGAAAAUGUACCGGGGCUAAACAUAUU
rnacentral:rRNA from 1 species